AGACCCGAAACCCGGUGAUCUAGCCAUGGGCAGGUUGAAGGUUGGGUAACACUAACUGGAGGACCGAACCGACUAAUGUUGAAAAAUUAGCGGAUGACCUGUGGCUGGGGGUGAAAGGCCAAUCAAACCGGGAGAUAGCUGGUUCUCCCCGAAAGCUAUUUAGGUAGCGCCUCGUGAAUUCAUCUCCGGGGGUAGAGCACUGUUUCGGCUAGGGGGCCAUCCCGGCUUACCAACCCGAUGCAAACUGCGAAUACCGGAGAAUGUUAUCACGGGAGACACACGGCGGGUGCUAACGUCCGUCGUGAAGAGGGAAACAACCCAGACCGCCAGCUAAGGUCCCAAAGUCAUGGUUAAGUGGGAAACGAUGUGGGAAGGCCCAGACAGCCAGGAUGUUGGCUUAGAAGCAGCCAUCAUUUAAAGAAAGCGUAAUAGCUCACUGGUCGAGUCGGCCUGCGCGGAAGAUGUAACGGGGCUAAACCAUGCACCGAAGCUGCGGCAGCGACACUCAGGUGUUGUUGGGUAGGGGAGCGUUCUGUAAGCCUGUGAAGGUGGCCUGUGAGGGAUGCUGGAGGUAU
rnacentral:rRNA from 1 species